UCUGCAGAGGCUAAUAUACUGGCGAUGC
rnacentral:piRNA from 1 species